rfam:Nicotiana attenuata strain TT chromosome 12, whole genome shotgun sequence.
GUGCCUGUAGCUCAGUGGAUAGGGCGUUAUUUCCUAAGCUGAAAGUUGUAGGUUCGACCCCUACCUGGCACG